GCGGCGGCUGACUUGCCGAACUGGGCAAGAUCAUGCGGGACGAGAUACAAGAGCGCGGAAGGCGAGUUCGCGGGCUUGAAAACCGUUGUCCGCAAGGACUUGUGGGUUCGAGUCCCACGCCCUCCGCU
rnacentral:tRNA from 1 species